AUUGAACGCUGGCGGCAGGCCUAACACAUGCAAGUCGAACGAGUGGGGGACGGGUGAGUAAUGUCUGGGAAACUGCCUGAUGGAGGGGGAUGAAUACUGGAACCGGUAGCUAAUACCGCAUACACUCGGAUGUGCCCAGAUGGGAUUAGCUAGUAGGGGGGGUAAAGGCUCGACCAGGCGACGAUCCCUAGCUGGUCUGAGAGGAUGACCAGCCACACUGGAACUGAGACCCGGUCCAGACUCCUACGGGAGGCAGCCGUGGGGAAUAUUGCACAAUGGGCGCAAUCCUGAUGCAGCCAGGCCGCGUGUAUGAAGAAGGCCUUCGGGGUGUCAAGUACUUUCAGCCUGGAGGCGUUACCCGCAGAAGAAGCACCGGCUAACUCCGUGCCAGCAGCCGCGGUAAUAC
rnacentral:rRNA from 1 species